AUGUCUGUCAUGUAUGAUGAUUCCGUUGGAGUAGAAUUGUCCAGCGAUAGCUUCUGGGAGUUUGGGAACUAUAAGCGGACCGUGAAGCGGAUUGACGAUGGCCACUGCCUGUGCGGUGACCUCAUGAACUGCCUGCACGAAUGGGCACGCAUUGAGAAGGCGUACGCACAGCAGCUCACCAAGUAGGCCCGGCGCUGGAGGCAGCUUGUGGAGAAGGAGCCACAAUAUGGGACGGUGGAGAAGGCCUAGAUGGCCAUGAUGUACGAGGCAGAGAGGGUGAGCAAGCUACACCUCGAGGUGAAGGCCUCGCUGAUGAAUGAAGACUUUGAGAAAAUCAAGCACUGGCAGAAGGAAGCCUUUCACAAGCAGAUGAUGGGGGGCUUUAAGGAGACCAAGGAAGCUGAGGACGGCUUUCGCAAGGCACAGAAGCCCUGGGCCAAGAAGCUGAAAGAGGUGGAGGCAGCAAAGAAAGCCCAUCACACAGCGUGCAAAGAGGAGAAGUGGGCCAUCUCAUGAGAGGCCAACAGCAAAGCAGACCUGUCCCUCAACCCUGAACAGCUUAAGAAAUUGCAAGACAAAGUAGAAAAAUGCAAGCAAGAUGUCCUUAAGACCAAAGAGAAGUAUGAGAAGUCCCUGAAGGAGCUUGACCAGGGCACACCCCAGUACAUGGCGAACAUGGAGCAGGUGUUUGAACAGUGCCAGCAAUUUGAGGAGAAGCGCCUGUGCUUCUGGGAGGUUCUGCUGGAGGUUCAGAAGCACCUAGACCUGUCCAAUGUGGCCAGCUACAAAACCAUUUACCGCGACCUGGAGCAGAGCAUCAGGGCAGCCGACGCGAUGGAGGACCUGAGGUGGUUCAGAGCCAAUCAUGGGCCCCGCAUGGCCAUGAACUGGUCGCAGUUUGAGGAGUGGUCUGCAGACCUGAAUCGAACUCUCAGCCGGAGAGAGAAGAAGACUGCUGACGGUGUCACCCUGACAGGCAUCAACCAGACAGGCGACCAGUCUCUGCAGAACAAGCCCAGCAGCAACCUUAGUGUCCUGAGCAACCCUGUGCAAUCCAUGCAGUCACAGUCCAGCUACAACCCCUUCGAGGACGAGGACGACACAGGCAGCACCGUCAGUGAGAAGGAGGACAUUAAGACCAAAAAUGUGAGCAGCUUCGAGAAGACCCAGAGCUACCCCACCGACUGGUCAGAUGAUGAGUCCAACAACCCCUUCUUCUCCACGGAUGCCAACGGAGAUUCAAACCCGCUUGACGAGGACACCACUUCAGGGAUGGAAGUGCGAGUCCAGGCCCUUUAUGACUACGAGGGCCAGGAGCAUGACGAGCUGAGCUUCAAGGCUGGGGAUGACCUGACCAAGAUGGAGGAUGAAGAUGAGCAAGGCUGGUGCAAGGGACGCUCGGACAGUGGGCAGGUUGGCCUGUACCCUGCGAAUUACGUGGAGGCGAUCCAGUGACAGGCUAUGGGGCAGGCCAGCAGACGGACAGAGGUGGCAGGCCAGGAGCUGCGGUGCCUCUAGCCGGCCACGUGGGCAUCCACUCGUGUUCCCGCAGAAGAUGAAGGUUCCAUUGUUCUUGGCUUCAGGGUGUCCCUGGCAGGCGGAUGAGCUGGUCACUUCACUGGGGACUCGGCACCCUUCCAAGUGCAGCUGGAGGAUCUGAGCGGAACAGCAGAGAAGGAGCCGGCCCUGCCGCCGCCCGCCGCGUCGCUGGCUUAUCAUGGAUCUGUAUGCUCUCGACCGUGUCUCCUCUCCUCGCAGUCACUGGGUUACGCUGAUUCUAGUUCACUGAUCACUUUCUCUGGCGAGUCCUGUCACUUGCAACUUAAAUGAACAAACUUACAUGCCAUUCUCUGAGUAAAGAUUUUGAGGUUUUUAAUUUAAA